rnacentral:misc_RNA from 1 species
GAAGAAGAACGUAGCGAAAUGCGAUACGUAAUGUGAAUUGCAAAUUCAGUGAAUCAUCGAGUCUUUGAACGCACAUUGCGCCCCCUGGUAUUCCGGGGGGCAUGCCUGUCCGAGCGUCAUUGCUGCCCUCAAGCACGGCUUGUGUGUUGGGCCCCGUCCUCCGAUCCCGGGGGACGGGCCCGAAAGGCAGCGGCGGCACCGCGUCCGGUCCUCGAGCGUAUGGGGCUUUGUCACCCGCUCUGUAGGCCCGGCCGGCGCUUGCCGAUCAACCCAAAUUUUUAUCCAGGUUGACCUCGGAUCAGGUAGGGAUACCCGCUGAACUUAAGCAUAUCAAUAAGCGGAGGA